rnacentral:misc_RNA from 1 species
AAAGUCGUAACAAGGUUUCCGUAGGUGAACCUGCGGAAGGAUCAUUAUUGAUUUAAAGAUGUGCUGGCACUCCUUCACAGGUUUGCAUGUGCACUCUAAAAUCACCUUCUCUUACCCCAUUGUGCACACUCUAGUAGGCAAACAGAAAUCCACAGAGCAAUCUGUGUCAUCUCAUUUGCUUAUGCUUUUAUCAAACACCCAUAACAUGUCAGAAUGAUCUUAUGUAGUAAGCUUUUAACAAGCUGAAAUCUAAUACAACUUUCAACAAUGGAUCUCUUGGUUCUC